AGUGAACGCUGGCGGUAGGCCUAACACAUGCAAGUCGAACGGCAGCACAGUAAGAGCUUGCUCUUACGGGUGGCGAGUGGCGGACGGGUGAGGAAUACAUCGUAAUCUACUUUUUCGUGGGGGAUAACGUAGGGAAACUUACUCUAAUACCGCAUACGACCUACGGGUGAAAGCAGGGGAUCUUCUGACCUUGCGCGAUUGAAUGAGCCGAUGUCGGAUUAGCUAGUUGGCGGGGUAAAGGCCCACCAAGGCGACGAUCCGUAGCUGGUCUGAGAGGAUGAUCAGCCACACUGGAACUGAGACACGGUCCAGACUCCUACGGGAGGCAGCAGUGGGGAAUAUUGGACAAUGGGCGCAAGCCUGAUCCAGCCAUACCGCGUGGGUGAAGAAGGCCUUCGGGUUGUAAAGCCCUUUUGUUGGGAAAGAAAAGCAGCAGGUUAAUACCCCGCUGUUCUGACGGUACCCAAAGAAUAAGCACCGGCUAACUUCGUG
rnacentral:rRNA from 1 species